rnacentral:rRNA from 1 species
CAGUCGCCGCGGUAAAACGUAGGGUGCGAGCGUUAAUCGGAAUUACUGGGCGUAAAGCGUGCGCAGGCGGUUGUGUAAGACAGGUGUGAAAUCCCCGGGCUUAACCUGGGAACUGCGCUUGUGACUGCACAGCUAGAGUACGGCAGAGGGGGUGGAAUUCCACGUGUAGCAGUGAAAUGCGUAGAGAUGUGGAGGAACACCGAUGGCGAAGGCAGCCCCCUGGGCCAAUACUGACGCUCAUGCACGAAAGCGUGGGGAGCAAACAGGAUUAGAGACCCCCGUUAGUCCCUGUCUCUUAUAC